rnacentral:rRNA from 1 species
UACGUAGGGGGCGAGCGUUGUCCGGAAUUAUUGGGCGUAAAGAGCUCGUAGGCGGCCUGUUGCGUCCGCUGUGAAAGCCCGGGGCUUAACCCCGGGUCUGCAGUGGAUACGGGCAGGCUAGAGGUAGGUAGGGGAGAAUGGAAUUCCCGGUGUAGCGGUGAAAUGCGCAGAUAUCGGGAGGAACACCAAUGGCGAAAGCGGCGCACUGGACCAUAACUGACGCUGAGGCGGCGAAAGCUAGGGGAGCAAACAGG